GACCAUAUAUUUAAUAUUUUGUUAACUAAAUGAAAGGGAGUGCCUGUUUAUUAAGCUCUAACAAAAUGUUACACUUGUACAAUUUAUUACCAAUCCCAUUUUAACUCUUGCUCUGUGGUCUUACUCUUUAACUAUACCAUUUUAAAGAUUCAGUU